rnacentral:lncRNA from 1 species
CUGCGGUGAGCAGAAACGAGAAAUAUAAACAUGCACAGGUUUCUGGCGACAAAAGCCUCCUGGCCUGGUAGCACCUGGGCAUGACCCCCUUUGCCCAGACGACAUUAGUCACUCAUAUGGCUCUUGCGUUUGGUUGGCCAAAGGCGGGGGAUCGUUAAGGCAUCUUGGGUGAUGAGGUGGAAAAGGGAAGCCCCACAUGUGAAAUUCUGAGGCCUGGGACUGAGCCACACCCUCCACAGCUACUUUCACAUUGUCUCUAAGCCUCAGCUCCUUAGAGACGCUGCCCUUUGUGGCCGAAGUCCCCAUCAAUUACUACUUUUGGUGCUGGUAAUUGGCUGGGAUCUGUUAAAUCUUUACAUGUCAUCUAAAACACACUCAUAUUAUCUGGUAGCUAAACACUUAUAUUUCACAGAUGCUAUAAUGUAGCGGGUAAAAGCUCUGGAUCUAAACCUCAUUUCAGAUCCCCAGUCUGAACUUCCCAACUGUGUGACCCUGAGCAAGUGACUCAGCCUCUCUGUGCCUCAGUACUCAUCUGUCAAAUGAGGAGGAUGAUGAUAACAAUAGUACCUCCCUCAUAGGACUGUGGUGACACUUAAAUGAGUUAAUAUAGAUAAAGUGCUUGGCUGGCGACCAACCUGGGUAACACAGUGAGACUUUGUCUCUACAAAAAAUUAAAAAAAAAAUUAGCUAGGUGUGGUGGCAUCCACCUGUGGCCCCACUACGUAGGAGGCUGAGGUGGAAGGAUUGCUUGAGCCUAGAAGGUUGAGGCUACAGUGAGCUGAGAUCACGCCACUGCACUCUAGCUUNNNNNNNNNNNNNNNNNNNNNNNNNNNNNNNNNNNNNNNNNNNUAAAAUAAAAUAAAAUAAAGUAAAACAAAACAAAACAGUCAUUGACCUUGACAUUGCCCAGUUCUCAAGGCUCUUUUAUACUCUUGUGUCUUACAAUCACCAUGUGGGAUAAGUCCUGGGAUCCCCAUUUUACAGAUGCAGAGACUGAGGCUCAGAGAAAGGAAGCAGCUUGCCAGAGCUGGAGCCCAAACCCAGAUCUUCCUGGUUAUCUCAGGGCCUCACCUCCUUUU